GAGAUGCUCAUAAAGAAUGUUUAUUGAAUUAACAUGACUACAAAUAUAACAGAAAGGAGAAAGAAGAAAUCUUUAUAUCAACAGUACAGCAGGCAUGAGGAUGACCAAGUUGGGUGAUGGGUUCUAUAUCAAGAAUAUGGAUGAUCCCAGAUGACAAUGUUUUCAGUGAAAAUUAGAGGAGAAAUAUCUUCCUUGAGAAGAGGGACAGACAUGGCCAAAGCCAGCAUAGAUUCAGUGGCCAUAUCUGGAACCACAGCAA